AAUUUUUGUGUAUUCACUGACUGUAUUGUAUUGAACAAAAUCGUUAUGCGGCCCUCGCUCGUCAUUCUCUCAGUUAUCUGGCCCGCUGUGAAAAAAGUUUGGUGACCCCUGGUCAAGAACAACCCUCGUUGACCGCGUAGUGACGCCCGUGAUUGACGUCGUUGGUUGUGACAUUGCUUCGUUGAUUCUGGCUCUAAGAAGGGCCGUGGUAUACCAAGGGAAAAAAAAAAAGAAACAAGAUUAGUUCGUUGUGACAUAGACGAAAUUUGAGCCGAUACCUGUAAUCGUCUGUAGUGAUGCGUUACGAUAUGUUGAACGACGUGAGCAUGAUGUAAUCAUGGGUUUUAUUAGCUACAGGGCCGAAUUCUAUAGAAGAAUUAUUACGCACUUCAUCCACGGCACACGCGAACCAAUCAACAGGCAAGGCGAGAGGUAGAGGUCCAUGGUGUAUCGGAUUAUCGUAUGUGACCCACGAUUAACGAACCAUUAUUUUAGUCAGAAGUAUUUUCUUCACUGGUAACAUAUCCUUCAGUUUUACCAGUUACUUGGAGAAUUUUAUGUGAUGGGAUCACGUCACAUUCACCUAGAGCAUGUCAAACAAUGUUUGAGCUCUCCUUGAACCUUGGAUUAGAGAAUUCUUUUAAAUAAUCUCCUAGUUUUAUGACAUUCGAACCGACGUAGGCGCCCUCACACGUUUGGCAGCAGAAUUUGCAAAUGACACUUGACUGUUGAAGAAGGUUGUUGCACUACCUCGAGAAUGAAACAACAGAUGGAACCACUACACCUCGAAACCAAAGAAGAGCAUUCCAGUACUAGGAUUGUCUGAAGGUGUGUCCAAGUCUUAGGAAAUUGGAGAUGGGGAGAGCGCCAACAAAGACUUCGAUGUCAGCUCCAAAGACCAAGGCGAUAGUGAUGCAGACGAGCGAGAUGGUUCAUUCAAUGGUUCUUGCAUUAAUGAAGGAGCAUCAACCUCGAUGUUAUUGACCAGGUGGUCUUGAAGAACGUAAGCAGCUGUGACUAAUGAGAUACCACUACUAAAGAGGCCAUGAGAAACAAUCCAGAAGGGGCCAAGAGUGUAACUCUUUACAAGCCACCAAAAGUGCUAACAAACAGAUUCAUGAUAAAACUGAUUCCAGUAUUCAAGCACCAUUGUCAGGAGAUGGUAGUUGAUUGGAUGGAGGCUCUAGAACUCUACAACUGGAAAGUAGAUCGGCUGGGCAAAGGAUCGCUCCUCUGUUGAGCAAUGAGAAGGAGAUCAAGCUAGCCAAAGCCAAGCGCAACCUCAACAGACCUCAAAGCAUCCAUGGUCGUCAACUGAAAAGAUUUUGGUAACACUGGAAUCUCUAUUGAUGGGGUUAAGGCAUGUGUGAAAGUUUGGUUUGAAUUUCGUGCAAAGGUACACGAGGGCUAUCUGC